rnacentral:lncRNA from 1 species
GAUUUGUAAAUUGUAAAGCCAGCAGGCCCAUAUGUCUCAAAAUAUGAAAUUAGAAUUUAGCCAAUUUGGACACUGCUUUACAUUGAAAUACUUCUACAAAAAUAUCUGGAAUACCUACAUAUUUACACUGAGCGCAAACUCUCAGGGUAUGAAAUGUUGUUCGACAAAUAUGUUGUGUUUUGUCAUGCUCAAACUCGCAGGACCUACAUGAAACUAAAAUUAAAUUUUAUUGAAUCUUUGAAAUAUGGAUGUAAUGUAAGAAAUAGUGUGUCAGUGAAAAUUUUUGAUAAGAUACUAAAAUUGUAAUGAUUAUAUUAAGUGUCUGUUUAGCCUUAUGUGUUUCGUACAAUAAACACGAUUGUAAUGAGAAUGAAAAUACGGAUUUUUUGUGUUUUUAAAAUUUACUGUUACAAAAUGGUAGAAUUUAUUAUAAGUUAAGGAAUGUAUCUCCCUCAUGCAAAGCUCUGAUUUCUUACACAGAUUUGGCUAUACUUUUUGGACCUUUUGGAUUAUAGCUCUUCAUCAUUUAUAAAAGCUUUGGAUUUCAAAUUUUUUCGCCACGAUCAUCACUGAAGAGACAUGUAUUGUCGAAAUGCGCAUCUGUUGCAGAAAAAAUGGUACCGUUAAUGUUAUUGUAUACUAAUCAUUAGCAAUGAAUCUCAUCGGUAGACGUUUUGUUUAGUUUUUCUUUUCAUCAUGCUAUAGUAAUAUUUAAAAUAAAAUGAAGAAAUUUUUUGUCAAUUAUGUUGAAAUUUGGAUUUGAUGCAAGAACUGCGUGUAUGCUAUUGCUAUGACCAAAUUUUGGUUUUCGUUUGUUUUGCAUUCAUAAAAAAGUAAAGGAAAUUUAUAAAGUCAUCCCCUCCAACUCCGGAAAAAAAUACAUCCGCAUAAAAUCCAAAAUGUGACAAUUUUACCAUGUUUUAAAACUCCGUUUUAGAAGAAAAUCACGACUCUGUCUCGAAUAUAAAACUUAUCAGAUAAACUACAGCAAAAUAUUAGACAAUAAAAUACAUAUUGUUUAUUGAUAUAUUUUAAUUGUUGACACUAUAAAUAUGAAAGAAUAGCUCAGUAGUUAUUGUUGAUUUUUAAUCAUAUACAUGUUGUAUAUGUACAUCGGAAAAUGAAAAAUAACAAUUAAUCAAUAUAGAUACAUAUGGUCGUUAAUUACUAUUUUGUUUAAUCUUUCGACAGAUCGAAUGUACUUUCAUACAGGAACAAUACGUUGAUUGGAGGAAUUCGAACCAUUGAAAAUUUAUAUGUCACCUGUUGACAUUCGUAGAUCUUCCUGUUUGUCAACACGGAUACAUGAUACAAUGGUUAUCCGAUUCCAACGACUAGUCAAGGCGCAAGUUUGAGCAUGACAAAACACAACAUAUUUGUAGAACCACAUUUCAUACCCUGAGUGUUUGUGCUCAGUAUUAAUAUGUAGGACUUUCGGAAAUUUUUGUAGACAUAUUUCAAUGUAAAACAGUGUCCAAAUUGGCCAAAUUUUUAAUUUCAGAUUUUGGAGACAUAUGGGCCUGCUUGGCUUUAUAAUUUACAAAUCUAUUAGACAACACAUGUUUGUGCCCACUCUAGUGAUUAAGAAACUAAAAUUGUUUUACAAUUGAUUAAGUCAUCAAGGAAGUUGUAAUUUGCAACAGGUUAAAAAAAAAACUAAAACAAAUUACGCAAAUAAGGUAUUUAUAUAUCUCAACUUGUACGAUUCGCUCGUGUAUGUAACAAUGUUUUAGAUUUUAACGAGAGAAAUUUAUGUAUUACUGAAAAAUUAUUACACCAGGGUUUUCGAUAUCACAAACUAGUCAAAACAUUUACUAAAUUUUAUCAUCGGUAUAAAGACAUUAUUCGUAAAUAUAGCUCAACAUGCAGACUUUUAAUACGUUCAGGUAUUUCACAUCCAAUUUUUUAUGGUAAUAUUCUUUAUAAAGCACAAAGGUGUCAGUAUUCACCUCAGAAACUUACAAAACCUUUGAAUAGACUUAUUAAGAAGGGAUAUAAUUACGAUACUGUUGUCAAGUCAUUAAAGAUUGCAUAUUUUGGCGUUAAUAUUGAGUCAUUGAUAAGGUCUUUGCAUCGGAACUAAACACAUUUAUUCUAAAAACAGUUGUUGGCAUGACACGGGUUAUGUUCUUCUCAUAUAUGUUAUGAUGGUAUGAUACUAAACCCCUAACGGGAAGGAUUGUGCCUGAUGUUCAUAUGAUGAAAUCAUAAUCUUUCAGUCAGUUUAGUUGAAGUCUGGAGCUGGCAUGUCAGUUAACUGCUAGUAGUCUGUUGUUAUUUAUGUAUUAUUGUCAUUUUGUUUAUUUUCUUUGGUUACAUCUUCUGACAUCAGACUCGGAUUUCUCUUGAACUGAAUUUUAAUGUGCGUAUUGUUAUGCGUUUACUUUACUACAUUGGUUAGAGGUAUAGGGGGAGGGUUGAGAUCUCACAAACAUGUUUAACCCCGCCGCAUUUUUGCGCCUGUCCCAAGUCAGGAGCCUCUGGCCUUUGUUAGUCUUGUAUUAUUUUAAUUUUAGUUUCUUGUGUACAAUUUGGAAAUUAGUAUGGCGUUCAUUAUCACUGGACUAGUAUAUAUUUGUUUAGGGGCCAGCUGAAGGACGCCUCCGGGUGCGGGAAUUUCUCGCUACAUUGAAGACCUGUUGGUGACCCUCUGCUGUUGUUUUUUAUUUGGGCGGGUUGUUGUCUCUUUGACACAUUCCCCAUUUCUAUUCUCAAUUUUAUGUAUUUAUUAGGGAUGUCAACGAGUACUCGAGUAUCGCUCGGUAGUACCGAGUAUCGAAUACAAAAAUGAUACUCGACUAAUCGGUUUACUGUUAGAAUGUUGUUGCUUUCUUAAACUUUAUAAAAAAAAAUGUUGUUAUUGAGAGCGCCUACUGGGAAAUUAAAUAUAUUAACAAAAUUUUAUUCAGGCUAUGAACAAGAACUAUUUUACAAGGCUUACAAUUUUUGUUGAUGUCAGCAUACCCACACCUCUACAUAUUUUUGACCAGAAGUACUGUAGUUAGUAACCUAACAAAAAGUUCAAUCAAAAUACACUCACAACACAAAAAGAAAGAAAUGACGUCCGAGUUCCCGUGGAAAAUAGACAUGUUUUUUAAGGUCUUUCCUCUACGCGAGGAAAGACCUUAUUGUUCUUCUAACAUUUUUUUUUUCCAGCAUUUUUUUGGCACGCUCUCCUACCAUUUCUAUUGGAGUUAUCAAUACCAAAUUUGAACUAUCAAUAGAACACAUCAUGAAGUUUUACCAGAUGAACUUUUUUUUUAGGAUUUCAUCACCCCCUUUAGAAGUAAACUCCCUUUUAUUGAUUGUUUUCAACAUUGCCCCCUCGUUGUUUUUGAAGAUAUCAUGACUUUAUUGGGACAAUAGGUAGAUCUCAUCAUGAUGUAUUAUCAUAUGAGGUUGCAAGAUUUGCAUCAUCCCCUAUGAGAGUUUACUGCAUAGCAAAUCUAUUACAACAUAUCUUUUUUGUUAAAAUGCAACAGCUGCUUUACAAAAUCUAUAAACUGAUAAAUAAUGUGCAUGACAUACAUGAAACUAAUAUUAAAUUUUGGAAUUGAAAAAUAAAGUUUUAUUGAAUCUUUGGAAUAUGGAUGUAAUGUUAAAAAUAGUGUGUCAGUGAAACUUUAUGAUAAGUUACAUGUACUAAAAUUGUAAUGAAUAUAUUAAGUGUCUGUUUGGCCUUAUGUGUUUUGUACAAUUUACACGAUUGUAUACUAAUGAUAAGCACUGAAACUCAUCAGUAGACGUUUUGUUUAGUUUUCUUUUCAUCAUGCUAUAGUAAUAUUUAUAAUAAAAAAGAAGAAGUUUUGGUCAAUUAUGUUGAUAUUUGGAUUUGAAGCAAGAACUGAGUGUACGCUAUUGCUAUGACCAAAUUUUGGUUUUCGUUUGUUUUGCAUUCAUAAAAAAGUAAAGGAAAUUAAUAAAGUCGUCCCCUCUAACACCGGACAAAAAUACAUCCGCCGCAUAAAAUCCAAAAUGUGACAAUUUUACCAUGUUUUCAAACUCCGUUUUAGAAGAAAAUCACGACUCUGUCUCGAAUAUAAAAUUUAUCAGAAUAACUCCAGCAAUAGAGACAAUAAAAUACAUAUUAUUUAUAGAUAUAUUUUAAUUGUUGACAUUAUAAAUAUGAUAUAAUAGCUCAGUAGUUAUUGUUGAUUUUUAAUCAUAUACAUGUAGUAUAUGUACAUCGGAAAAUGAAAAAUAACAAUUAAUCAAUAUAGAUAUAUGACCGUUAAUUACCAUUUUGUUUAAUGUUUCGACAGAUCAAAUGUACUUUCAUACAGGAACAAUACAUUGAUUGGAGGAAUUCGAACCAUUGAAAAUGUAUCUGUCACCUGUUGAAAUUCGUGGAUCUUCCUGUUUGUCAAUACGGAUAAAUGAUACAAUGGUUAUCCUAUUCCAACGACAAGUCAAUGCACUUUUAUUUAUCAGUUUAUAGAUUUUAUAAAUCAGCUGUUGCAUAUUACCAAUAAAGAUAUGUUGUAACAGAUCUGAUAUUCAGUAAACGAUGAAAAACGUAUUGACUGCGUAUGGAAGGAUUGCGAAAAUUUGAAAUGUCACUGCUUGACAGCAAAUUGUACCACUGAAUGCCUCUUUGGAUAUUUUGAUGAACAACAUUUUUAUUAGUGAAAGAUUUUAAAUAUCUUCUUCUGUAACGAGAAGUAUAACCUUUGAUUUUAACCUAAAAAAUUCUAAGAGCCUUAAACAUUAAAAGACCGAAAAAUGUUCAAUCCGCCUUUAAUUUUACUUUAUACCUGUAGAGAUGCCAUGAUUUGUUUAAAGCAUUUCAAACUAAAAGAAGUUUAUUAGGAAAAACAAUUGCUGAGAACAUAGUCAGUGAUUAGCUACUGUAAAAUCCAUUAGAAAAAUACAACCAGGAACAAAGGUUCGAUGACGAUCAUCGCAUCUAUUUACAUCAGUCCUCAAAUAUUCUACACAAAAAAAGGAUCUAAAAGAACAUUUACUAAAUAUAAAUACCGUGGUAAACAUAUGGUGCCGAAAACAUUAUGCACAUUCUGCAUCAUUAGUGAACAAUUAUAGACUCUGUAAAAAUAUAAAUGUGUUCCUUUACUUUUUCAGGGAUAUCAAUCGGUAAAAAGUUAAAAGCUUUUAACUAUGUGUUCUGUUUUAGCUGGUAUUACUAUUUUUCAAAAUAUUUCUAGAUAACGGAGCAGUCAACAGAGUUGUGGUUACAAGAGGAAAAUAUCGAUAUAACACGUUCAUUGGUUCAUUGUAAGCAAGAACCUGAACUAUAGGAAAUCAUAUCAAGAAACGCAAAUUCUGGCACUGGAAGAACAAAUGAAGAAGUUUUCAAACAGCAUUUGUAUUAAACAGGAUAUGCAUGAAUAUCUUAUAAUUUGGUGUCAUCAAUAAUGCAUUAAUCGAAUAUAUUAACUAGGCAAAUCAUAAUAAAUAAUGUACAUAGAAAAAGCGAUAUUGAGUCGACAAAUGUGAUCAAUAUAUACAACAGUAUAUAUUUAAUCACAAAUAUUGAAGUGGCCGUAAAUGUCUUCUUCAAAGUGGUGAAUAUAAUAAAGCUAUUUGAAUUUUAAAUCAUUCAAUGUGUCACUGAACCGUCAACUUGGCCCUUCAAAAUUGUCAAAAACAUUUCUGCUAUUUUCAAUUACCGUUGACAUUACCUUAUUGCUAUAUAUAUAUAACCAGAGAUACACGUACGGGGGACCAUCAAAUAUAACACUAGAGAUCAGGCUUACUCACUGGCAUCUCCAAUGCCGACUAGGAGUAAAAAGAAAGUGUUAUGUAUGCUGGACAAGCAUUGGAAAGGGUAUCCAGGAAAAAAGGCACCACACUCGAUAUAGUUGUGUAGAGUGUGGCAAUCAUGUUUACCUUCCAAAAUACUUCAUCGUAUACAUCACUGUCAAUAAUUAAUAUGCAUAACUUCUACCUGUUUCAUAAAUGUUAGCUGUUAUUAUUGUUAAUUGAAGUUAUAUUUAAAGUUGAAUAAUAUUUCAAUCAUAUGUCUAUGACUUGACGAUUAUUAUAAAACCCUAUUACCAGAGGAACUGGUGGAUUACAUACGGACAACGAAUGUUAAUGACUUUUCAUCAAUAAUUCUAAUGCAACAACAUUUGUAACGUUCAUUUUGAUUGGAUAACGUCACUUAUUUACAUUGCAUCAAUUGACAAUAGAUGCUAUGGGACGUACGCGCAAGCGCAGACGGCAUAUGACAG